rnacentral:misc_RNA from 1 species
CCGGACCUCUUAUCAGGGGAUCCAAAUUCCACCUGAUUCUCGAGCAUUUUCUCAUAGGGAGUCUUGAUAUCACUCGGUCUAGUAGUUGUAUACACAAUCCUCUUAAUAGUGGGCGCCACACUCCUCAACAAAGACUCCGACUCCUGAAACUUAAUAUUGACCACUUCGCUAUUCUCAUAAUUACUAAUCCCCUCAUUUUUCAAUUUGAACAUGACAUGCACCCCAUCAACCUCCACUUUCUGCACUUGAUUACUAUUAAUCUUGC